GGACUUUUGGUAUAGCAUUGCAAAUGUAAAUGUGCGAAAUACCUAAUAAAAAAUGGAAAAAAAAAAAAAAAAAAAAAAAAAAAAAGAAAAAAGUCUAUGCAACUCCCAACCCUCAGAAGCUAGAUGCAUGAAGACUGCCAUGAGUUUGAGCCUAGCCUGGACCACAUAGUAAGACCUUGUCUCAGAACAAAACAAAUUCAAGACACAGGGACAAUAGACAUGGUUUGGUGACUUGAAACUCUUGUUUUGCAAAGUUGAUCAAUCUUAGUUUGAUUCCUCAGAACACCUUGGAAGAAGAAAGCUAAUUCCUGAAUGUUGUCCCCAGAUAUCCCCACAAGUGCAGUAACAUACAUAUCCCUGUACUCACACUAUAUAUGUGUCAUAUAAUUUAAUAUAAUUCUAAAAUUUAAGAAAUC
rnacentral:lncRNA from 1 species